GGGCCGAUGGUCUAGCGGUAUGAUUCUCGCUUAGGGUAACACCCUUAGCUUGUUGUAUGAUUCAUCAUACAACUAAAAUGCGAGAGGUCCCGGGUUCAAUUCCCGGUUGGCCCC